GCAUUAGCUAGUUGGUAAGGUAACGGCUUACCAAGGCGAUGAUGCAUAGCCGAGUUGAGAGACUGAUCGGCCACAAUGGAACUGAGACACGGUCCAUACUCCUACGGGAGGCAGCAGUAGGGAAUCUUCCACAAUGGGCGCAAGCCUGAUGGAGCAACACCGCGUGAGUGAAGAAGGGUUUCGGCUCGUAAAGCUCUGUUGUUGGAGAAGAACGUGCGUGAGAGUAACUGUUCACGCAGUGACGGUAUCCAACCAGAAAGUCACGGCUAACUACGUGCCAGCAGCCGCGGUAAUACGUAGGUGGCAAGCGUUAUCCGGAUUUAUUGGGCGUAAAGCGAGCGCAGGCGGUUGCUUAGGUCUGAUGUGAAAGCCUUCGGCUUAACCGAAGAAGUGCAUCGGAAACCGGGCGACUUGAGUGCAGAAGAGGACAGUGGAACUCCAUGUGUAGCGGUGGAAUGCGUAGAUAUAUGGAAGAACACCAGUGGCGAAGGCGGCUGUCUGGUCUGCAACUGACGCUGAGGCUCGAAAGCAUGGGUAGCGAACAGGAUUAGAUACCCUGGUAGUCCAUGCCGUAAACGAUGAGUGCUAGGUGUUGGAGGGUUUCCGCCCUUCAGUGCC
rnacentral:rRNA from 1 species